UAAGGAAUAUUGCUCAAUGGGAGAAAUCCUGAAGCAGCAACGCCGCGUGGAGGAUGAAGGGUCUAUGACUUGUAAACUCCUGUAAAGAAGGAAAAAAUUCCCAUUAGAUGGGAGAUGAUGGUACUUCUGGAGUAAGCCCCGGCUAACUACGUGCCAGCAGCCGCGGUAAUACGUAGGGGGCAAGCGUUGUCCGGAUUUACUGGGUGUAAAGGGUGCUCAGGCGGAUUUGUAAGUCAGAGGUGAAAUCUUACAGCUUAACUGUGGAACUGCCUUUGAUACUGCAAGCCUAGAGUAUGGAAGAGAGUGAUGGAAUAUCUGGUGUAGCAGUGAAAUGCGUAGAUAUCAGACAGAACACCAAUGGCGAAGGCAGUCACUUGGUCCAUUACUGACGCUAAAGCACGAAAGCGUGGGUAGCAAACA
rnacentral:rRNA from 1 species